GACGAACGCUGGCGGCGUGCUUAACACAUGCAAGUCGAACGCUGACGUCCUGGCUUUUGUUGGGCUGGUUGAGUGGCGAACGGGUGAUUAACACGUGAUUAACCUGCCCCCUUCUUUGGGAUAACGCCCCGAAACGGGUGCUAUUACUGGAUAUUCACUUAUCUUCGCAUGGGGGUUCGUGGAAUGGUUUGUUCUGGUGGGGGAUGGGCUCGCGGCCCAUCAGCUUGUUGGUGGGGUAAUGGCCUACUAAGGCGUUGACGGGCUGCCAGCCUGAGCAGGUGAACGGUGACAGUGAGGCUGAGAAGCGGCCCAGACACCGAGGGGAGGCAGCAGUGGGGAAGAGUGGACGAAGGGGGAAAGCCUGAUGAAGCGGCGCAGGGCGGAGGAUGGAGGGCUGCGGGAUGUAAGCAGCUUUCGGGGAUGGUCAGGCCGCAACUGUGGGUUGUGGUGAGGGGAGUGGGAAAAGAAGCGCCGGCUAACUACGUGC
rnacentral:rRNA from 1 species